rnacentral:misc_RNA from 1 species
UUAAAACCAAAACAAUGCCUAGACCUCAUCUAGUGCUAUUCUGGAGUUUGAGACAACACGAAUGAUGCUCGAGUUUACAAGGUCUGACAAUAAUUUCCGAGUCGCAGCUUAUAAAAUAAACAGAAAACUCCUGACUUUCAAAAUGUAUCUCACUGGGGAAAUCUUUUCCCAUUUCUCAUCACGAUAGUGACUUGCAAUUUGUUGAAAAUGAAAAAUUUAUGAGCAAUCACGAAUAUCCCAAGCUGCAUACCACCCAAGCUGCAUACUAUCUUUUAGCAAAACUCAAUGAUUUUCGGUUGAUGUUAUCUAAACGAAUUAAUAGUGUCCCAGCAUUUUCUCCUUCUGCCCACUUGAUUGAUUCCUUCUCCAACAGCUUCAUAACCAAUCUCCUACGAGCCCCUUUUGAGGUAUCUUCCUCAUCUGUCUCAAUGAUGACCUUCAGGUACUUAAUUGAUGAGAUGCCUGAAAGUGAAGAAAGAUGACACUUCAAAAGACGCAUUGCCUCCUUGGCACCAUGGUCAUGCAGGUCAAGUGUCAAUUCGUCUUUUGUAUCUACAUUUUUGGUUUCAAAAAUCUUCUGACUAGAUUCUUCAUCUGCCUCGCGAGCCUUUCCAUGAAAAAAAUGUCCCUCAUCCAUAAGUUUGUUAGAGCAAUCAUAGUCUCCCUUAGCAAAUGCGUUGACAGCAGCUUUAUAAUAUUCCUUCAUUGUGACCCGAUACUCCUUCACAGCCCUACGAAGCUGCUGGUAACUACCCUCUUCAUCUUCAUCAUUGCCGUUAUCUUGCUUUGAACCAACAGAAUUAGUCUUGUGUUCUAAGGUAAAGUCUCUUGGAGGUUCAACCACUAGUUCUCCAAAUACUUUAGAUCUCCUUGCUCCCUUUGCUGCUCUUCUAGAUAAUUCUUCAGAUCUAUCAGCAGAAUUAAACAAUGCAACUAAUACUUCCUUCUGAAGAUCGUUUCUCUCGUCUUGUUCAGGUUGUCCUCCAUCAUUUAUGUUUGAAAUUCCAUUUGCAUCACCCCCGAGGGAAUUCAUUUGUGGUGAUUUGCAUUGAUAUGAAUGUUCUUCAGAAUUUGAAUGCACAUCUACCAUCUUUCCAGUGGAUUUACCAAGGCAUUUGUUCUCUUCUUCCAAAUUCACUGCAGACAAAUCUAACAGUUUCUCCAUACUCUUUUCAAUGUCAUAUCCACAUUUAUCAAGAACUUGUCGAAUCUCAUCUCUUUCCAGCUGAAAACCAUCUCCUAGCAUUCUGAAAAGAAAAUUUUCCAUAUCCUUAUACAUAUGAUAAUUCUUUGAUGGGUUCAGUUUAGUUUCCUCUCCCCAUAGUUCAGACGCUGGCAAUUCCUUUGCAUCCAAUUUCAUUGGUUUGGUUCCCAUACAGGAACUGCUGGCUACUGGCAUGGACUUAGUAUAUUCUUUGCCAAGAAUGCUUGAAAUAGUGCCUCCUGAAACUGGACGCCAUUUUUGCUUUGAAGCUCUGAACUUUCCAUUUGCAUAACACGAUCUCGUAGAAAUUAUAUCAUAAGAUGAUUUGGAAGAUUCUACACUUCUUCCCCCUCCAUUGGUUGCAACAACAGAAGAGGUAGAGGUGCUUUCCUGCAUGUCAUAAAGGAUUUCACAAGCCAAAUCUGCAUUCUGGUCUGCCUUGUAAUAAGCAGAAGCUAUAUCUUGAAGAGAAAACAAGGAGCCAAAUGCCUCAAACAAAGCUUUCAACGCCUUUCCAUCAUUAUCUUCAUAUUUUGUGUUCAAAAUAGAUGCUUCCAUUUAAAUAUAUUUUGAAACAGAGAAGUUAAGGAGAGAGAUUGGAGGCGCUAUGGAUUAUCCUGCGAGGUUUCGAGUGAGUAAAUGAGGAGGAGCAGCGGAAAAACAAAAUGAACUUCCUUUGGCGCUCAAUUGCUUAUCUGCAACAGUGGGAUUUGAUUCCCUUCUUAACGCGUCUUCAUUGUAACUGCUAUACAAUUUAUACUUCUGGCUAGCUUCCUGCUUCCUGCUUCCUGCUUCCUGCUUCCUUCUUC